rnacentral:rRNA from 1 species
UACGUAGGGGACUAGCGUUGUCCGGAUUUAUUGGGCGUAAAGAGCGUGUAGGCGGCCAGGUAGGUCUGCUGUGAAAACUCGAGGCUCAACCUCGAGACGUCGGCGGAAACCAUCUGGCUAGAGUCCGGAAGAGGAGAGUGGAAUUCCUGGUGUAGCGGUGAAAUGCGCAGAUAUCAGGAAGAACACCCGUGGCGAAGGCGGCUCUCUGGGACGGUACUGACGCUGAGAUGCGAAAGCGUGGGGAGCGAACAGG